rnacentral:rRNA from 1 species
GACGAACGCUGGCGGCGUGCUUAACACAUGCAAGUCGAACGCUGAAGCUCAGCUUUUGUUGGGUGGAUGAGUGGCGAACGGGUGAGUAACACGUGAGUAACCUGCCCCCUUCUUUGGGAUAACGCCCGGAAACGGGUGCUAAUACUGGAUAUUCACUGGUCUUCGCAUGGGGGUUGGUGGAAAGGGUUUUUCUGGUGGGGGAUGGGCUCGCGGCCUAUCAGCUUGUUGGUGGGGUGAUGGCCUACCAAGGCUUUGACGGGUAGCCGGCCUGAGAGGGUGACCGGUCACAUUGGGACGGAGAUACGGCCCAGACUCCUACGGGAGGCAGCAGUGGGGAAUAUUGCACAAGGGGCGCAAGCCUGAUGCAGCGACGCCGCGGGAGGGAUGGAGGCCUUCGGGUUGUGAACCUCUUUCGCUCAUGGUCAAGCCGCAACAAUGGUUGUGGUGAGGGUAGUGGGUAAAGAAGCGCCGGCUAACUACGUG